rnacentral:lncRNA from 1 species
CUGACUUUUAUCUUGACUGGAACUAACAUUUUCUUACAUUAGUGUUCCCUUAAGAGUUUAUCUAAAUUCAGAGUGCUGCUGUCUGUCAGGGUUUCCGUUAGUGUGAAAAGACACCAUGACCAAGGCAACUGUAUAAAGGCAAACAUUUAACUGGGGCUACCUUACAGUUUCAGAGGAUUAGUUCAUUGUCAUUAUGGUGGGAAAUGUGGCAUCAUGCAGGCAGACCUGGUGCUAAGAGGAGCCAAGAGUUGUCCAUCUUGAUCUGAAGGCCACAAGGAGAAGACUGUCUUCUACAGGCAGCCAGCAAGAAGCAAGAGGCUCUGGCUCUGGCCAGGCGGCAGCAUAUUUAUAAGACCUCAAAGCUCCACCUCCCCAGUGACACACUUCCCUAACAAGACCACACCUCUAAUUCCAGUUGUGUUAUUUAUUCCAAGCCAUGAACACACCAUUUAGACAAUUUUGAAGCUGUUCUAGAUGUAUUUCUCAUUUAUCAAUUAUUUCUAGGAAAACUGCCUAAGAAUUAUGACCCAAAAGUUACCCCAGAUCCAGAAAGAUGGCUACCAAUGCGAGAGCGCUCUUAUUACCGAGGAAGAAAGAAGGGUAAAAAGAAGGACCAGAUUGGAAAAGGAACACAGGGAGCGACUGCAGGAGCCUCCUCUGAACUGUAAGUUGUGGCUGCAAAACAGGAGUCUCCGAAUGCAGUUCAUCCUGGAGGCUGGUUCAGCUAAAACACAGUCCCAAUUGGCAUGGGUUUACUGGUUUACCUUUUAUUUCACAGGUAGAAAAUAAGCAGAUCCUAGUACUAGGUCUGGA